rnacentral:tRNA from 1 species
GCGGGGGUAGCUAAGCUUGGCCAAAAGCGCAGGACUUAAGAUUCUGUCCCGAAGGGGUCCGAGGGUUCAAAUCCCUCCCCCCGCA